rnacentral:rRNA from 1 species
UCGACUCCUACGGGGAGGCAGCAGUGGGGGAAGUAUUGGACAAUGGGGGGGAACCCUGAUCCAGCCAUGCCGCGUGUGUGAAGAAGGACCUUAUAGGUUGUAAAGCACUUUAAGCGAGGAGGAGGCUACUGAGACUAAUACUCUUGGAUAGUGGACGUUACUCGCAGAAUAAGCACCGGCUAACUCUGUGCCAGCAGCCGCGGUAAUACAGAGGGUGCGAGCGUUAAUCGGAUUUACUGGGCGUAAAGCGUGCGUAGGCGGCUUUUAAGUUCGGAUGUGAAAUACCCCGACGCUUAACUUGGGAAUUGCAUUCGAUACUGGGAAGCUAGAGUAUGGGAGAGGAUGGUAGAAUUCCAGGUGUAGCGGUGAAAUAGCGUAGAGAUCUGGAGGAAUACCGAUGGCGAAGGCAGCCAUCUGGCCUAAUACUGACGCUGAGGUACGAAAGCAUGGGGAGCAAACAGGAUUAGAUACCCUGGUAG